rnacentral:rRNA from 1 species
GACGAACGCUGGCGGUGUGCCUCAAACAUGCAAGUCGAGGGAGGGUUGGCGACUGGCUUGCCAGUCGUUCAACUUGACCGGCGAACGGGUGAGUAACACGUGGGCAACCUGCCCUGAAGACGGGGACAACCUCGGGAAACCGGGGCUAAUACCCGAUACCCUCCCUGGGGGGCAUCCUCCGGGGAGGAAAGGUCCGCAAGGUCCGCUUCAGGAUGGGCCCGCGGCCUAUCAGCUAGUUGGUGGGGUAACGGCCCACCAAGGCGAUGACGGGUAGCUG